rnacentral:lncRNA from 1 species
UGUAGGCCAUAUGGGUUGGUUGUCCUCUUAACCAAGAAGUGUGGAGACACUAGUAUAGUAUACAGGUGAGAUGUAAGGAUACAUCAUCAUUUGACGUGACCAACUCCAGAGCAUUCUGCUGUCGAGAAUGUCUCUGAUGGGAUAUAGGUAUAAAUGUCUCUUAGAUCUGAGAUCGCCUCAGUGACUUGCAAGCAACUCACUAUGCUUUGGUACUGGACUAAUAGAAUUUCUAAUUCAGUGACGAAAGGAUUCUGG